UACGAAGGGUGCUAGCGUUGUUCGGAAUUACUGGGCGUAAAGGGCGCGUAGGCGGUUCGCUAAGUUGAAUGUGAAAACUCUGGGCUUAACCCAGAGCCUGCAUUCAAUACUGGCGGGCUAGAGUUCUGGAGGGGAUAGCGGAAUUCCUGGUGUAGCGGUGAAAUGCGUAGAUAUCAGGAGGAACACCGGUGGCGAAGGCGGCUAUCUGGACAGAGUCUGACGCUGAGGCGCGAAAGCUAGGGGAGCAAACAGG
rnacentral:rRNA from 1 species